CACUUAAAUAAAAAAAAUCAACUAAAAAAAAGUAGAAAACCCUGAACGGUUUUCCCUCUUACCCCUUCGAAAUACUGCAGUUCUUCGUUCCCAUUUGCUUAAAAGAUCGACUAAAAUUUCCAAUCCCAAAUUGACCUCAAUCCCAAUCCUAAUCCCUCAAUCCCAAUUUCUACCGGAAACAAACAAUCAUUUGCGAUUUGGAGGUCGGUAAAGUUUUCAUUCCCAAUCCCUGAAUCCCAGUUCUACGGAAUCCCAAAUUUCAACAAUCCAAAUAUUUUCGAGCAAAUUCCUUCAAUUCGAAAUUUAUCCAAGUUAUUUGCGAUUUGGCUUAUUCUCCGACAAGCCUUUAUCGACGGUUGUGAUGAAAUCAGCCAGGCCUACUUCUUCUUCUUCUUAAUUUGUGAUGAAACCUACUAUGAAUUACGAUUUUUAAGUGAGUAUGCAUGUCUUUUUAAUUUUCAAUUUAAUUGCGUUUUACAGGUUUAUCAAUUGAGAUUUGCAAGUUUGCACAUGUGAAUUGUUGUUUAUUUAAGAUCUGUUAUUGAAUUUGAUGUUUUUCCGAAAUUUAGUGAUUCUGAUAAGUUUAAUUCCAUAAUUUUAGGUGAAGAUAUGACUUGAUUUAGUGAAUUUUUAUCGAUCUUUUAGGUUUUAAUUGGAUGUCUUCCAAGAGGAUCUUCCUGAAUGCCGGUAUAAUUUGAUUCUAAUAUUGUUGAAUUGCGUUAUUAUUGAUAUUCUGAAUUAGAUUAUGAUUUUAUAUACAUCCUUUGUUUGGUUAAAUUUUUCAAUAGAUACGUUCCUGCAUUGCUGAGGAUUUUCCGAUAUAUAAUGACUAAAUUUAUAAUAAAUUACUUUUCUGGUGUUCUCCACCUUAAGGUUUAGUGAAGUAUGAACUCGUAUUUGUUGCUUAGAGAGAUUGGGUGGUUUGGUUUUGGUGUAGCUUUAAUGCUAUUAACUAGUUUACCACGCACCAUUUGAUGCUCCGAAAAUUGCAUCUAAUGUUUAAAAUUGAGUCUGAUGGUUGCCAAUAUAUACAGACUAUCCUGAUGGUGUAUCACACUCGAUGUAUGAUUUUCACUAACAAGUAGAGUGUUAAUCCAAUACAUUUCAAAACACCAACGUCUUUCCAAUUCACCAAAUAUUUUCCAAGUUCUAAUUACCCAAUCUUUUUACCUUCUAUGCAGCUGAUAUAUAUACUCGCAUCUCACAUAUAGUCCUUGAGUUUUAAAGCUCUUUUCUUGUUGGUUGUUGCAUACUUCGAUGGUUAUACAAUUACAAAGCAGUUGCUAGUUCAUAGAGAACUUAAAAAAUAUAGGACAAAAAGUGCUUGUGUAUUAGAUAUUCAAUUUGGAGGUUUCUCUCCUUGUUUGAUUAAUAAAAAACUUGUUGAAUGCGUUCUUCAUGGUGCAUGGUGAACUCUUGUGAGUUUAUGAUUGUGUCCUGUAUUUCUCUUCUUGUGUAGGGGAAAAAGUUGCAUCUAGUGUUUCUUUACUCUAGUUAGCUAAAGAAAAAGGGAAGGGGAAAUUGAUGAUAAACUGAUUAUUAUUUUCUGGAUAUUGGUUUGAAAAUAUCUGCUGUGAGAUUGGAGUUCACUAUUAGAAUUUUGUUAUAUAACGACAAACAAAUAACUACCACCUGUAAGUCUGUAACACCUGUAACUUUUAGCAUUAUUAACACAUUUUUAACAAGUAACAGCAAUAAUCUUCUUUUGUCGUUUAACUUAUGUAAUCAGUAUUAGUUAGAGAAAAAGAUAACUAAUGAAACCGUUGUUUAUAGAAAAUAGUCGUGCGGGUAAUUAUUGAUUUUAAUUCUAAUUUGAAGUAUAAGAAAUUUAGUGAAAACUGAAUGAAUGCAGAUAUACAAUGACUCCAAGUUAUACCCAGGUGUUUCAUUCGUCUAUAAGCCGAAAGGCUUCCAUUUCCUCUCAAUCUAUUGUGUUUCUCCCCAAAUUGAGUCAAAACCUUAUGAAUCAAUGCAGACAUGGUGAAAUAAAAGUAUUUUGGAGUUAAAUAUUAAACUAUUAAAUUUCUAAAGUUGUUUAUAGUUGAUGCUGUGAGAUUUGAGUUGUUUUUAGUGGGCAUGGAAGCUACCACUUCAUAACUGGAUCAAGUGCUUCACGCUGCAAUCAACACUCUGCUGUUUAACUAUGGUUUUCUGGACGAGACAUUUUGGUUCGGGUUUACUGCGUUAUGGACUUGUGGUCAUCUGGUGUUAGCCAUCGUUGCCACCAAAAGAUUUGGCCAAAUGUAAAAUUAUGUGUCUACUGAGCAAGGCAAGAUGAUAUUCUAACAGAGUAACAGAAUGGUAGUGCAUAGAAUUGGGAGGUUGCUGAACUAAUCGAGUCACAAAACAUGGGGACAUUGGAGGACAGAAGAGUCAUAAGGUUUGUCUUCUAUGCACCGUGGUGUCACCAGAAAAUGGAAAGUUCAUACCUAAAGCUGGAUGAUUAAUAUGGGCUGGAAGUGGUGUCAAGUUAGGAAAGUUCAGGGCAGAUCGUGAUCAGAAGGCAUUUUCUAAGAGUGAAUUGCAGCUGAGAAGAUGACCAGAAAAUAGGAUGUCAAUUCACUCUAGGCUUUCGUCCUUGUUCUAAGAUGAUGACCAGUGCUCUCGAGCCUCUCGGCAAAAUGGCAUUGAUUUUGGAUUGUAUGGCACUGGAUUCAGGAAAGGAGAUCAUGAUUACAAGCAUACCCAUAUUCAUGAAUAUGUAUAGGUUCAAAUAAUGGUGUAAUGAUCAAGGCCAAUUGAGGACUCACAGGGCGUGUCAUGUUUUUCUUUUGUGCUUUAUGUGUAGUAUUUUUUUCCCAAUUUGUGACAAAUGAAUAUUGUACGUGGUUAAAAGAUAUGAGAUGUUUGUUUGAUGUAAUUGAGCUAUGAAAUGGUUUUUGUUGUUUAUACAGAAUUGUAAUUGGGAUAUGAAUAUUGUAUUAUUAUUAUUAUUAUUAGAUAUUUAUUUCAAAUUGCAAA